UAGGGAAUCUUCGGCAAUGGGGGCAACCCUGACCGAGCAACGCCGCGUGAGUGAAGAAGGUUUUCGGAUCGUAAAGCUCUGUUGUAAGUCAAGAACGGGUGUGAGAGUGGAAAGUUCACACUGUGACGGUAGCUUACCAGAAAGGGACGGCUAACUACGUGCCAGCAGCCGCGGUAAUACGUAGGUCCCGAGCGUUGUCCGGAUUUAUUGGGCGUAAAGCGAGCGCAGGCGGUUUGAUAAGUCUGAAGUUAAAGGCUGUGGCUCAACCAUAGUUCGCUUUGGAAACUGUCAAACUUGAGUGCAGAAGGGGAGAGUGGAAUUCCAUGUGUAGCGGUGAAAUGCGUAGAUAUAUGGAGGAACACCGGUGGCGAAAGCGGCUCUCUGGUCUGUAACUGACGCUGAGGCUCGAAAGCGUGGGGAGCGAACAGGAUUAGGAUA
rnacentral:rRNA from 1 species